CACAUUCACUGGUGAAGUCAUCGAGCAUUCAACACUUGGCUGCGUUACUCCAUGUAGAUCUUGAUGCCGGGGAAAGGAUUGGAUUAAAAGGCGCAAAGUGGAAGAGGAGGAGUUAGAAAACAUUGAGGAACAACUUCAACCAUCAACUUCACAUUCAUCCUUCCAACCACAAACAUUAAGAGAUGCAUCCAUAAUGAAGGAUGUAUGUACACAUCCAUAUGGUUCUUUUAAAGAAAUGUGUACACUUUGUGGCCAAUGGUUGCAGGCCGAAUAUGGUGUGGCAUUGGGCUACAUUCAUGAGGUAAAGACUAUUUGGCAGAGUUGUGAAUUUUGGUUAUCCUUCACUGCAUAUUGGAAUUUGGAAGACAAUAUCUAUGAUGCUUGUGAA